rnacentral:rRNA from 1 species
CCUACGGGAGGCUGCAGUGAGGAAUAUUGGUCAAUGGACGGAAGUCUGAACCAGCCAUGCCGCGUGCAGGAAGACGGCUCUAUGAGUUGUAAACUGCUUUUGUAGAAGGGUAAACGUGAAUACGUGUAUUUAGUUGAAAGUACUGUACGAAUAAGGAUCGGCUAACUCCGUGCCAGCAGCCGCGGUAAUACGGAGGAUCCAAGCGUUAUCCGGAUUUAUUGGGUUUAAAGGGUGCGUAGGUGGAUUUAUAAGUUAGAGGUGAAAUGUCGGAGCUUAACUCGGAAACUGCCGCUAAUACUGGUGAUCUAGAGAGUAGAUGAGGUAGGCGGAAUGUAUGGUGUAGCGGUGAAAUGCUUAGAGAUCAUACAGAACACCGAUUGCGAAGGCAGCUUACUAAGCUAUAUCUGACGUUGAGGCACGAAAGCGUGGGGAGCAAACAGGAUUAGAUACCCCAGUAGUC